CACGUAGGGCGCAAGCGUUGUCCGGAAUUAUUGGGCGUAAAGAGCUCGUAGGCGGACUGUCACGUCUGCUGUGAAAAGCUAGGGCUUAACCCUGGCCUUGCAGUGGAUACGGGCAGACUAGAGGUAGGUAGGGGAGAAUGGAAUUCCCGGUGUAGCGGUGAAAUGCGCAGAUAUCGGGAGGAACACCGGUGGCGAAGGCGGUUCUCUGGGCCUUACCUGACGCUGAGGAGCGAAAGCGUGGGGAGCGAACAGGAUUG
rnacentral:rRNA from 1 species